rnacentral:rRNA from 1 species
UACAGAGGUCCCAAGCGUUGUUCGGAUUUACUGGGCGUAAAGGGUGCGUAGGUGGUGAUGUAAGUUUGGUGUGAAAUCUCUGGGCCCAACCUAGAAACUGCACUGAAUACUACAUUGCUAGAGGAUCGGAAGGGAAACUGGAAUUCUCGGUGUAGCAGUGAAAUGCGUAGAUAUCGAGAGGAACACCCGUGGCGAAGGCGAGUUUCUGGACGACUCCUGACACUGAGGCACGAAAGCUAGGGGAGCAAACAGG